rnacentral:rRNA from 1 species
AUACGGAGGGUGCAAGCGUUGUUCGGAUUUAUUGGGCGUAAAGCGCGUGUAGGCGGUUUUUUAAGUCUGAUGUGAAAGCCCUGGGCUCAACCUGGGAAGUGCAUUGGAUACUGGAAGACUUGAGUACGGGAGAGGGUAGUGGAAUUCCUAGUGUAGGAGUGAAAUCCGUAGAUAUUAGGAGGAACACCGGUGGCGAAGGCGGCUGCCUGGACCGAUAUUGACGCUGAGACGCGAAAGCGUGGGUAGC